rnacentral:rRNA from 1 species
CCCUUAGAUGUCCUGGGCGGCCCGCGCGCUACAAUGUCAGCUACUGAAGGUUAAUGCUUUGAAAGAGAGCGCGCUCUCCUUUUAAUUGCUCGCAUGCUGGGAUAAAUGAAUGCAAUUUUGUUUUGAACGAGGAAUUCCUAGUAGCCAUGUUUCACUAGAAGAUGGCGAAUGCGUCCCUGCCCUUUGUACACACCGCCCGUCGCUCCUACCGAUGAGCGUUUUGGCGAAGACGGUUCGAGUAGCUGCGUAAUUUCGUGUUGUUGACUCCGGCAGUUUGAGCCUUCACGUUUAGAGGAAGGAGAAGUCGUAACA